rnacentral:lncRNA from 1 species
UUUAGGAUUUGAUUAGGAUUUGGUUAGGAUUUGAUUAGGAUUUGGUUUAGGAUUUAGAGUUUGGAUUAGGAUUUGGUUUAGGAUUUGGUUAGGAUUUUAUUUAGGGUUUAGAAUUUAGUUAGGAUUUGGAUUAGGGUUUGGUUUAGGGUUUAGGAUUUGGAUUAGGAUUUGGUUAGGAUUUGAUUUAGGGUUUGGUCAGGAUUUGGUUAGGAUUUGAUUUAGGAUUUGGUUAGGAUUUGAUUUAGGAUUUGGUUAAGAUUUGGUUUAGGAUUUGGUUGAGAUUUGGUUUAAGGUUUGUUUAGGGUUUGAUUUAGGGUUUAGUGUUUUAUUAGGAUUUAAGAUUCAAUUAGUUUUGGCCUAAAGUUUAAAUGAAGUUCAAUAGGAUUUUAACUAAAAUUACAUUAAGAUUGAAUUGAAAUAUAUUUGAGUGAUAUUUGUGAUCAUUUUAAUAUUUCUUUAAAAAUUCUUAUUGUUUGUUUGAAAUUUCUUUCAAUUUGAUUAACCUUGCUUACCAUUAUCAUGGUCUAAUUAGAGCAUUGUUAAUAUUCUAUUAAAAUUAGGAUUUUGUUAUUGCAAUUUCCAUUCUUCUUUCCACAGCCAAGUGCCCGAAACAUUCUCAAGCAAGACUUCACAUAUUAUGACAAAGGGGACACCCAAUCCAGGUCUCGUUAUAGGCCUCUUACCCAGUAUGAGACCUAGCUCGGUUGGACAACCCAAUGAGGUUUCGAA